rnacentral:snoRNA from 1 species
CUCCUCCCCACGCUUACCGCAGGCAGCCGCCCCCCCGGCUGCCUGUACAGAACGGGGAGGCAGAGCAUCGCCUCGAUACACCCCGGCCUGGGAGACGGUGCCCUGGCUGGAUUGUGAGCGGGGGGACACGG